rnacentral:rRNA from 1 species
GACGUAGGGUGCUAGCGUUGUCCGGAUUUAUUGGGCGUAAAGAGCGUGUAGGCGGCCAGGUAGGUCUGCUGUGAAAACUCGAGGCUCAACCUCGAGACGUCGGCGGAAACCAUCUGGCUAGAGUCCGGAAGAGGAGAGUGGAAUUCCUGGUGUAGCGGUGAAAUGCGCAGAUAUCAGGAAGAACACCCGUGGCGAAGGCGGCUCUCUGGGACGGUACUGACGCUGAGACGCGAAAGCGUGGGGAGCGAACAGG